rnacentral:rRNA from 1 species
UACGUAGGGUGCAAGCGCUAAUCGGAAUUACUGGGCGUAAAGCGCACGCAGGCGGUCUGUCAAGUCGGAUGUGAAAUCCCCGGGCUCAACCUGGGAACUGCAUUCGAAACUGGCAGGCUAGAGUCUUGUAGAGGGGGGUAGAAUUCCAGGUGUAGCGGUGAAAUGCGUAGAGAUCUGGAGGAAUACCGGUGGCGAAGGCGGCCCCCUGGACAAAGACUGACGCUCAGGUGCGAAAGCCAGGGAGCGAACGGGAUUAGAC